AGAGUUUGAUCCUGGCUCAGAAUGAACGCUGGCGGCGUGCCUAACACAUGCAAGUCGGAUGUGCCGCAAGGUGCAUGGCAGACGGGUGAGUAACGCGUGGGGAAUCUACCUCUUUGUGGGGAAUAACGCUCCGAAAGGAGUGGUAAUACCGCAUGAGAUCCAUGGCUGGGAUGCUGUGGAUGAAACCUGGGGACCGCAAGGCCUGGGGCAAGGAGAGGAUCCUGCGUCUGAUUAGCUAGUUGGUGAGGUAAUGGCCCACCAAGGCGACGAUCAGUAGCCGGCCUGAGAGGGUGAUCGGCCACACUGGAACUGAGACACGGUCCAGACUCCUACGGGAGGCAGCAGUGGGGAAUUUUGCGCAAUGGGCGAAAGCCUGACGCAGCAACGCCGCGUGGGUGAUGAAGGUCUUCGGAUC
rnacentral:rRNA from 1 species